GGAGUUAGGAAAUGUAGAUACGCUAAUAUCGUAUCUAUUUGACAAAGGCUCCAAAAGAAGCCACGGCUAACUCUGUGCCAGCAGCCGCGGUAAUACAGAGGUGGCAAGCGUUGUUCGGAAUUAUUGGGCGUAAAGAGCACGUAGGUGGAUUUGUAAGUCAGAUGUGAAAGCCUUCUGUUCAACGGAGGAAUUGCAUCUGAAACUACAAACCUUGAGUAUAGGAGGGGAGAGUGGAACUUCUGGU
rnacentral:rRNA from 1 species